GCCUCCUGCCUGGGGCAGAGGUUUCCCGUGGCACCGGCCAACGGUGGAUCAGAGCUGCCCCAGCUUGUGCCGGUCUCUUGGCCUCUGCACCCAGAGCAGAAAAGUGCCACAGCAGAAAGCAGCCAGUCAGAAGCAGCAACCGCUCCAGCAGUCGUUCUCUAGCUAUCAGUGGAGCAAGUCAUGCAGGCGGGAGAGGCGACAGUGGCCGCGUAGAGACAGCCGAGAUUGUAAGCUUCAAGAACCUGGGCUCCUGGAUCUCUGGGUCACAUCAUCAGGCCCAAGUCUGACACAUGAUUUCACCCAAGUAAGCCUGAAAUAAAACAUGCUGCUUUUUUGAGGCACAACAAGACAUGAUCAGAUCAUCUCUCUGUGGGAGGAUUUCAAUCAUGCCUUCUGGCUUGACAACUGUUUGCUUCAAGGACAUGGGAUGAUAAGGAUUGUGGCUCCCUGGUGAUUCACCCAUGUGGAAGUACAGGUGCUGCUUCUCGUAGUUGAGGUGUUGGUUUUGUUCUUGCCAUACUGA